UGCUCUCUGAUGGCGAGUGGCGAACGGGUGAGUAACAUAUCGGAACGUGCCUAGUAAUGGGGAAUAACUAAUCGAAAGAUUAGCUAAUACCGCAUACGACCUACGGGUGAAAGCAGGGGAUCUUCGGACCUUGCGUUAUUAGAGCGGCCGAUAUCUGAUUAGCUUGUUGGUGAGGUAAAGGCUCACCAAGGCGACGAUCAGUAGCUGGUUUGAGAGGAUGAUCAGCCACACUGGGACUGAGAUACGGCCCAGACUCC
rnacentral:rRNA from 1 species